GGAGAGGUCGCAUAGUGGCCUAGUGCGCACGCUUGGAAAGCGUGUGUAGGGAAACCUACCGCGGGUUCGAAUCCCGCCCUCUCCG
rnacentral:tRNA from 1 species